rnacentral:misc_RNA from 1 species
ACGAGUUAGGGUCUUCUCGGCCCGACCUCCCAACCCUAUGUUUACUGAACCUAUGUUGCUUCGGCGGGCCCGUCUCACGACCGCCGGGGGACCGUAAGACGUCCUCUGGCCCGUGUCCGCCGGUGGCCAAACUUUAACAAAUUCUGAUCAAAAUGUGUCAAUGUCUGAGUACAAUUUUUAAUUAAAGCA